rnacentral:lncRNA from 1 species
GGAAAUAAUUGCAGAGAGUGAUAUUUGGGAUUUGGCACCUGGAAAGAAUGAAAUUCUCCCUGCGUUGUUGUUAAGUUAUCAUUACCUUCCUCCACAACUGAAACGAUGUUUUGCCUAUUGUUCAAUCUUCCCAAAGGAUUGCAGAUAUGAGAAGGACCAACUGAUCUUACUUUGGAUUGCUGAGGGCUUGAUAAAACAACCCAAGGACAGCCGGACAUUAGAGGAAGUCGGUGAUCAGUGCUUCUGUGAUCUAGUGUCUAGAUCUUUGCUUCAUAGAGUAAGCGACGUUGAAUCAACUUUCUGGAUGCAUGAACUGGUCAAUGACUUAGCAAGAUAUGUAGCUGGUCGAUCUUUUUAUAGCUUGGACGGAGUCGAUGCACACCAGGUGUCCUCAAGCACUCGCCAUUUGUCAUUUGUAAGAACUCGAUAUGAUGUCGCUUCUAGAUUCAAAGGUUUAGCCAGGGCAAUGAAUUUGCGUACCUUCCUGCCGCUAAACGUGGAUCAUGUGACAUCUAACGAGUACUUUUUCUUGACUGAUGAGUUACUGCAUGGUCUAUUGCCCACCCUGAGUCGGUUAAGGGUGCUAUCUUUGUCUCAUUAUCAGAAAAUCUCUACGUUGCCCAGUUCAAUUGGAUGUUUGAAGCAUCUGCGCUAUUUGAAUCUCUCCUAUAAUAGAAGUCUAAGCAGAUUGCCUGAUUCAAUUACUGCUCUAUAUAACCUGCAAACCUUAAUUCUUGCUUACUGUCAGUCUCUCAUUGAGUUACCAAGCAACAUGGGUAGCCUAACCUGUCUGCGUCAUCUUGAUAUAAGGGAGACAUUCCUAAAGAGAAUGCCGUUGGGGAUGAGCAGAAUGAAGAAUUUGCAGACAUUAACUAAUUUCGUGGUGGCCAAAAACAGUGGGACCAUGAUUAGGGAUCUAGGGGAGCUUGGGAAUCUUAUGGGUACACUCUCCAUACAAGGUUUGCAGAAUGUUGAUAGUUACCGAGAUGCCGAGAUAGUCAAUUUGCAGGGAAAGAGGUACUUGAAAAAGUCAGUACUGGAAUGGGGUUCUGAUAACAAUAUUAUGCAGCAAAAUUGCUUAAAUGUAUUGGACAAGCUGCAACCUCAUUGGAACUUGAGAGAGCUUAUCAUUAUAUUUUAUAGUGGUCAGUCAUUUUCCAAUUGGCUGGGACAUGGUUCAUUCUCUAAUAUGUCAGUCAUGCGUCUUGAAUCUUGCAAGCACUGUGUGUCAUUGCCUCCUUUAGGACAGCUACCAUCUCUAAAGAAGUUGAUAAUCAAAGGAAUUGAUGGAGUUACAAGUGUGGGUGCUGAAUUCAAUGGUAGUAACUGUAUACCUUUUCAGUCACUUAAGUACUUGGAAUUUGCUGACAUGUGCAGCUGGAAAGAGUGGGCUUCUUUUGGAAUAGGGACAGGUGGUCUUGCCUUCGCACAUCUGCAGGAGCUUUGUAUUAGAAAUUGCCCCGAGUUGAGUGGAGGUUUGCCCAGCCAUCUCCCUUCUCUAUCAGCCUUGUCCAUUGAAAAGUGUCCACAGCUAACGUCUUAUCUACCAUUUGCACCACUUCUCCGUAAGAUCAGUUUUGAUGAUUGUGGAAAGGUUUCUGGAGUGGAGCCUCUCCUAAAUGGCACUGAGUUACAAGAUAUGGAAAUCAAGAAUCUUUCAACCCUUCCCUUGAGGUUUCUUCCUCCUACCAUGACAAGACUCAAUCUUGAAGACAGUCAUGAAAUAGAGUUGCCAAUACAUAGAUGCCAUGAAUCUCUCCAAUAUCUAAAGUUGAAGCAGAGCUGCGAUUCACUUAUAUCCUUUCCUCUGGAAAUUUUCCCCUCACUUAAGAAUAUUCAAUUAGAGGAGAUUCAAAAAUUGGAACAUCUUUCAAAUUCAGAUGGUUCUCCACUUCUUCUCCAUUCGAUGAACAUUAGUGAUUGCCCUGAAUUUAGAUCUUUCCCUGCAGGAGGAUUGGUUGCCCCAUGCCUCACUUCAUUAGAGUUGAAUGACUGUCAUCAUCUAAAGAAUCCGCCAGAAAACAUGCAGGCUCUCCUUCCUUCACUUCGAUCAUUGACAAUAUCCUCAUGUCCACAACUCGAGUCAUUUCCCGAGCGGGGUUUACCCCCCAAGUUGGUCGCGCUUUCACUCUCUAAUUGUGACAAGCUCAUCACUAGCCGCAAGGAUUGGGGUCUUCAAUCACUAUGCUCUCUUAAAACUUUUGUCAUUGAGCAGGAGAAAAAUAUUGAGUCAUUUCCUGAGAUAGGGCUUCUGCCAAGCUCUCUUACCUCUCUGUAUAUCUUUGACUUUGCGAAUCUGACAUCCCUGAACUCCAAAGGGCUUCAUAGCCUGAGCUCCCUUGAAAAAUUGUUCAUUGGUGAAUGUCCUAAGCUCCAUUCCUUCCCAAAAGAGGGACAAAUUCUGCCUGCUUCUCUUACCACUCUGUUGAUUUAUGAUAUGGGUCUAAAAUCACUGGACAACUUAGGGCUCCACCACCUCACUUGUCUCAAAGAAUUUCGCAUAAAUAGCUGCCAAACUCUUCGAUCCAUGCCAGUGGAGGGCCUAUCAUCCUCCCUUUCCGAUCUAUUUAUCUAUGGGUGUCCUUUUCUGGAGAAAAGAUGCCAACGCAAGAAAGGGAAAGAUUGGCCCCUAGUUUCUCACAUUCGCUGCAUCGUGAUUGAAGAUGUGCUCAUCACAUGAUCGAAUAUCUUGCUUUAAAAGCCCUGCUUUUACCAAGAUCUCACUAGGGUAUCUCUGUUGACCCUACACUAAGUAAGCCAUUUAUUUAUUCACAACAUGCUUCAGUCGCUGUGUGGUCAAGCAGUACCAUCUGGCUGUAUUUGCCGCAAGCUACUCUGGUAACACUCCACAAUGGAGAUUAUUUGUAGUUUCACCGGCUUUCCAUUCUUGUUCCUACUAUCGGGCUGCAUGAUUUGUUUAUUGGUUGCCGAGUUAUUUAGCUGGAUCGUCUGCUUUUCCCCUUCUCCAUUCUCUCUAUAUAAAUCACACUCCCAUACUUCAGCUGAGCAUCUGUCACGGUCUUUAUACUCUCAACUGGAAAUGAUUAUUUCAUUGGUACUUUUUUUCGUCAUCAGGUUAUUUGGUUCCAACAUAUUCAGCUUUAAGAUCUCACUCAUAUCACGAUCGUCAACACCUACAAAUGCCAACUCGUGGAACUGUUUGUGCAUGAGCUAACUAAUGUAAAUAGAGCAAAGAGAUUCGUGGCCAUCUGAAGAAGGCCUAGCCUUGAUUAGGCUAUCCAGAUGAAUUCACAAACUCUAUGGCACGUCCUCAAGUUAUAGAGAGAGUAAAUUUGCUCUUAUUGACAGAUGCUUUAUGUCGUCUAAAGCCGUAUAAUAUUGCGAGGGAGACAUAAAUUCUUAAGGACAGGCAUGACUCAUGACUGACCUCUAUUCCACUUGCCAGAAAAGUGUGGUAUCGUGGGUGUAGUAUAUUUUUGUUUGCUUUGUAUUUUUAUUUGUCCAUUUCAGCUUAACAUCACUCUAAUGUUGUACAGUUUAACAAUUUCCCUGCUACACGUGGAAUUUUGAUCCAUAGAAUGUGAACAGUCUAACAGAUGCAAGUGACCCGGCACUUUGUAGUGGCAUAUCCACUUUUGUCACUAAUUAUAUCAUGACAUCAACUAAAUCCAAACUGAAGGACUAAAAAUACUAUGUAAAAGUUAGGUUUUUUUUCGUUGAAGUUGAAAGUUUGCAUCUCAAAAUGCAAUUCGAUCAAAAAAUAUGGACCUAUUGUAAUUUACCCUAUUUUGCGAGAAUAUUGUUACUUUCGAGGGAACUUAAGUGAUUUUAUGUGCACUAACUGUUGAGGAGCUUUUGCGGAUGGAGAUAAAGCUGGAAAUGUAUUGCUAGCUUUUAGCUCGAUUUGAGUAUCCUUUAGUCGUUAAUACUUGACCUUCAAUCAUCAUAGGUAGAGUGCUUCUAGAUGGGACUAGACUAACUAUUGUUACAAAAAUACAUGAUGCAUACAUAGUUAGCGAGAUGUACGUAUAAGUUAUGUUAGAAAAAGUCCAAUGACGUGGAAUUGCUAUGGUGCGGAAUAGUUAAUAUCUUAGUUGGCCAAAAAUUCAUUGCAUUAAGCUUUUGAGUAAAAGUGGUCUAAUUGGAUAUGUUGAAGAGCUUGGACUUUAGCUCUCUCUUGACUUUUGCUAUGUGCUCCUAAGUGAAUAGUUGAUUGGUGGCAACGUGUUGGUGCAAAAGUAUAAUCGGAUUAAGGGGGAAGUAUACUUAACAUUGAGCUCACACGUAAGAGGAGAUAAGAAUUGAUGUGAUGUGGAGUAGUUAAUAUAUCCUAGUUGGCCCAUGAUUUAUAGGUUUAAGCUUUUGAGCAUAUGUUGGUCCAACUAUAUUUGUUGAUAGGUCGAACUUGGGCUCUCUCUUGGUGAUCUCCUAUAUAAUGAUAUUGGGUUUCUACUAAGCGUUACCAAUAGUGGAUGUCGGAUGUAGCUUUGGAUGGACCUAUUCUUCUCCCACAAUAUCGAGAUAGUUUUAGUAACAGGGUUGUGGUGAGGAAAAAAAAUGGUGCUAAGUCUUCACAAGACAAGUGGAUUAUGAGGAUCGGGAGCAGCAUUGGCAAUGAGAUGGUGGAAAUCGACAAGGAAAACAAAUCCAUUUUUCACGCGGUCAGUAAGCCAAGUUAUCGACUCCUGGAAACGAAAGAAUCGAGGUCAAUUUAGAAGUUUCGAAAUUUCAUUGUUGGUUUGCAGCUUGCGAGAAAUUGUUUCUCGAUGAGCGCAAGUGCAAGAGAGGCACUCCAAUGCGAUUGCAACGUUUAGUGUAACACAUCGACACACCAUGUGAGAAGUACUUGCCUACUAGAUUGGCUGAAUUGUCGUUUUUGCAAGCUAAUACUUGUCAUAGUGAAGAAACAACAAACCAUUCAAGGUGAAACGGAGCCAACGCAUGAUCUGUAGUUGUACAUCCCAAGUGUUCAAUGUUGUAGCAUUGGAAGAAAGGAUCAUAUCUGAAACUGAUGAUGGGCAUGAGAUGAGUGGGUUAUGGAGAGAUUGUUUGAUACAGCUUUUCGAUGGUAGCUACGACCGUAAAACUGGAUGCUUCUGCUUUCGCAAGGUAACAUCUCAAAGCUAUCAUUUGGAACCAUGAAGCUGUCCCGUCUAGCUUUUAGCUGCUAUGUGUUACCAAAUGGUUGCAACUAUGAUUAUACCAAACGGGCCUAAGUUGAACUUCAUAGCCUAUACAGGAUCGGGAGGGAUUGGAGAAUUGCGUCAGUGAUACUUCUCUCUCUUCGGUUGAGUGAUUCAUCUCUUCUUCAAAAGGACCUCUAAUUCUCUAGGGGCAGACUUAAGCAAAGAGCGGAAUUGACUCCUGCAUGCAAGCGUGUACCAGUUUCGUGCUAUAGGAGGGUAUAACAUAUGCUGGAUAAGUGAAAUUUGGGAUCAUGUACAAGUCUCACUUAUUUAUCAUGUUCGAGGUGGAAGUCGUCAUAUGUACAUCAAAAGUGGCUGUGUAUGUAUAUAUAAGGACGAUCAUUCUGAUUUGUAUGUAUCGCAUAAUUGAGAAAGAUGAAUCAAAUAACCUUCAUUCCAACUUCAAAAUCUGUAAAGGCGUCAUUUCUCAAUAUGGAGAAAUAGUCCAGAAACCUUGUAGCUACGCAUUAUAGACAGUUAUUUUGAAAUGAUGUGGUGUAUUAUGCUAAUCAACACUGGCACAACUAGCAGUGGAUGCUGAUGCUGAUUUAACUCCCACAAAUUCGCUGAAUGAGAAGGCGAGUUAAAGCAUCUAAGACACAGAAAAACUACCUAGCUUGCUAAAUGAUUUGGACAUAUAGACCAACAAGAAUUGUGAUCGUCAUAUCACUAACGUUCAUCUAACCAAAAUAACAACAGCAACUUGGAUGGAUGCGGAUCGGGAAAAAAAGACCUACUGCGAGACAAGAUACAGGGCACAAGUCAUAUCUUGCAACAUAAUAUCUUCGGAGCAGUUAAAAAAUAGCAUCUCCUGGUCUUAACUCGCCCAACUGCGGAACAGCAUAGAACGAACACUAGGCUAGAUUCGUGCCCAAGGAAUGAAGUCGUGCAUGAUUGUGCCACAAACAGAGCACAACAAGAAAACCACCUAAUGAUCCAGCGGAACCUCAAAAACAAAGAAGGUUAUGAGUAUGUACAAUCAUGAGGCGAACUCCUAUCGGAUUGUUCAAAAACGUCCCUCUUGCUCGAUACAGUUUUAUAGUUUACCGUAUCACUUGAUGAACAGCAAUUUACAAACCAAUCUGUAUACCCUAUGUCCCCAGCAUUACCGUGGAAGAAAUGAAGAAAUCGUAUCCUGGCCCUAGCAUGAAAAACUGAGAAAUCCAUAUCCUACUGAAAGAAGCAUGGGGAUACAGCAUAGCAACAUGUCUUUGUCCACAAACUGCUAAUAUAGGUUUGUUACAACCAUUCAUCAUCAUGCAAAUUUCACAAGCUAAUGAGGGUGAAAAACGACACCCCCUUGUACAAAAAAGAGAGCCAAUCCAGUCAACAGACACGAAACUGACAUUUUACCACUGCCAACAAGAUGAAGUAAGAACAUCAGAGACAUCGGACAAUAUUCACAUCAAACACAGAGGUAAAGAGACUAAAAUCCAAAGCGCUAGUUCCACAUUUGCAACAGCAAUCGAUACAUCAGCACUCAAACAGGUCUGCGGACGCUAUUAUGGGUUGUAUCGGACAUGGGAUCUGCCAGGGCUUCAUCAACGGGUCGGGAAUCUCGGGAAUAUCAAUCACCAGCCCACUGACCACCUCCACGAUCUCGAGUACCGAGUUCAGGGACCGGAGCCUCUCAGUAAGCUCCAUGGCCUGGGCCCUGAGGACAUUGUUUGCCAACUCGACCUCGGCAUACUUCUGCGCAGCAGCAUUGAUACUCACCACGAGCUGAGCGUUAGCCUGCUGCAGUUGCCCCACUUCUCCGACCAAAUCCCCCAGCUGCUUCUGCCUCCUCAUCCGGGAGCGCCUGGCGGAUUCCCUGUUGGACUCCAUCCUCUUCCUCUUCCUUUCAUCAUCGGCCACCCCACCGAGCCUCGGGUCGCCAUCGGAUCCCGAGCUCGCCUGACGCCGAACCGAACCCAUUUUCGAGGGCCUUUCCCCGCGAUCAAUCAAUCACUCGAUUCGGAAAACGACCGAUCAGAGUGUCUCCGCGUGCCGGGAGUUAACAACGAAUUCCGAUGGAAUCAAAGGGAGGCACGAAUCGCGAUCAAUAGGAGAGAGAGAGAGGGGCGUUCAUGAGAAGACGUAGAACCAGUAGAGGAACACCACCGAGAAGGAGUGGACGAUCCGCACCCGGAACAUGAGGAUCGCGUAGUUCAUGACUCGGUUUCCCACAUCUGAAAAACCCUACACCAUCUACCACAAGCGCUCAACCAGUACCCUCCGAUUCUCAGCCCAACGCAACGAAGGGGAAAACGAAAACGGCGACAACGCAGCGGAAAGACAGCAGAGAGAGAGAGAAGGGGGACGUAAACUUAGCUGGCGGCGGCGGCGGCGGAACGCGCGAACCAGAGAGAGGUCGAAGAAGGUUAAGAAAGGAGGGGAGGAGGGGUUUAUAUAGAGGAGGCUCGCGGGCUUCGAUUGGUCUGCCGGGAAAACGAAUAUUCCCAGAAUCUUUUUUUUUUUUGGGUGUAAUUUAUUAGGACGGAUUUUGCUUAGGCGUGUCCCGAUUGCCCAAUCACAUUCGAAAGUGUAAGAUUAUAUUUCUUUCUUUAAUUAAAAAAAACCGAAAUUACCUUUUUAACGAAUCGAUAAAAGAAGAAAAUACACGAGAUGCUUGAGGAAUAAACAAAUGUGAAAAUUUAUAUCGGAGAUGUGGAGGAAUCUAGAGAUCCUCUUCUGAUUUUAUUUUGCCGGUGGUUUUUUUUAUCUUUUUAUUUAUCGAUGGACAACUAAUAUCUGACUUAAUCUAUUUAUAAAUCUCUUUCUUUACGCGACCGUGUAACCAUAAUACGGGGGGGAACAGAUGUUCUUAAAUUUAAAUUGUUUUUGGUGGGGGAGGGGAAGAAUGACGUCAUGGCGCACGUCUGAUGUGGCGUGGGAUUGGUCGGAUCUCAUCGUCGUCGCGGUAGUUGGUGCUGCCCAUGUUCAAUGUAAUGCGCACGUUGUUUGGGACCUUAUCCAGUAGCAUCACACUUUACAGAGCAGGCAAAACCGUGGGUUUGACCGGGUCAAACAUCGAACGUCGGAUCUUCUUGGAUACAUCCCCCCUGGAAAAAUGCACGCGAGCGCCAAGUUGUGAAAAGGAGAGAUAUUUAUUUUAAUGUUUUCUGUUUGGAGACAUUAAUUUCUCGAUACCUUUUUAUUUUCGUAAAAAAGGACUUGUGCAAUGGAAAUUAGUCGGGAUGCGUAAAAUACAGGCUAAAUCUUGGACUUCCAAAAUUGAAAUUGGAUGAAAAGAAUACAUAAGUGAUUUGGUGAAAGCAGAUAGCCGUUUGGAAAUUAAUGGUGAAAAUAUGUAGGUGGGCUCUUGGUGAGAAAAUAGGGAUAGAAAUCAAAGUGGAUAGUGGAUUUGGGGAUUGCAAACAUUGCAUCAUGAAAUAGUACUAGAAAAAUGAUCAUUGCAAUUUGUUUAUUCCACAAAAAAUGAAUGAUUUGAAAAAAAAAAAUUAUUACUGCAAUCCGUUUAUUUCACAAUAAAUGAAUAAUUUGAAAAAAAUGAACUCAAUGAACAAUACUAAUCACAACCAAGAGCCAACUAUCGGCUCCCAAGGAGCAAACCUAGGACACUGUGCCCAAACUUGCGAUCUUGACACUUUAAUCGAGAAUGACAUAUUUCAUAUUAAGGUUAAAAUUACAUGGUACCGGCACAAGAUGCAACAAACUCAAGAUGCAUAACAUAUAUAUAAGGUCGAACGACAUGAGAUUUGUAAUACCCUUUUUUUUUUCAGUCCAAUCAGAGUUAUAAUAUGUUGGCUAAUCAUUAAUGCUACAUCACAUUAAUGCUGCAUCAUCACUACCAAAUUUAGGGUCGAUGACUAGGCAAGGCUUGCCUCACCAGCCCUUGGUCAUAAGGAGAAAAUAUUAUAUACAAUUUUGAUGUCACUUCAGCAAAAUAUUAGUCCAUUCAUCUUGCGGCAUGUGUCACACGUGAGCCCACUUAUCUGUCACGAUCUCUCUCUCCCCUUCCUUUUGACCCAUUUUUCCUUCUCCAACUCUCUCUCUCCCCCUUCUUUUUGACCCCUUUUCCCUUCUCCAGCCUCAAGCCCAAGCCAUUGCCAUUGCCCACCAUGGCAAAGGGCAUGCUUGAAGUCUCCAACGAUGAGCUUGCUGCCAAUGGAUCCCUAUUUCUUUGUGCACCUUAUGGUGGGGAACCUUGAGUUGAAGAUCCCCAUCACUGCCAAGCCCAUUGGCUCUGCCGUUCACCCAUUGUCCUCUCCUCGCUUUUGCACCAACUUUGUUAAAUGAAUAGGAGAUGGCAAGAAAUUUUUCAGUGCGAAAAGCCUAAGACUUUUUGUUUUUGAAGUGAUUAUUUUUUAAUCGUGAAUGCAUGACGUGCCUGUGACACACCCGCAUUGAGAAAAUAUCAAGUGAGAGCAAGAUUUGAUGAAAAAUACUUCAUUAAACCUUUUAAGUUGCAUCCCAAAGAUACGAAAGCCCAAAAUAUGGGGGCAAAAACAAGAGGAAAUAGAAAGAAGCAGGAGAAAGAAGUCGAAUUUGUUCUUAUUUUUGAAAGCCCAUACCCUUAUGAAGCCCAUCGAUCCUCAUCUUGGGCCGUGAGAGACCCGCCGUUCCCCCGACCCGACUUGAUUUUCUUCCUCUCACGUUUUCCCGAGAAAACCCUUCUUCCCCACUCUAGCUUUCUCCGGGAAAAUUUUCCGAUCCGUUGCAAACCGUUCAUCAUCUUCCAUUCUACAACAGAUCUCGACGACCUGCGAGGCUGCGAUGGAGAUUCGCAUCAGAAGAGGCUACGCGUGGGCCAUCGCCGCCGGAUUCAUGGCCGCUAUUGCCGCCAUCUCCGCCAAGUUCUUCUCCUCUCAGGUAACUCAACCUCAUCCGCGCGCUUGUCCGUGCAAGCUAAUCCAUGAUUGUCCCCCGCCGUUCUGCUUUGUCACUCGAGAUUGUGCGAUUGUUCCAGCUAAUGCAAAUCGAAAUCUGGCGUGUGUGUUGGGCUGAAGCACUCGACGUCGCGUGGCGCGAUGUGAGCCGCAGCCGAUAGCCGGUGCGCGGCGAUAUGUCCAAUUUUUGGUUGUUUGAGGAUUAGCGGGACCACUAAUUGAGGAAAGCUCCUGUCAAUUCUACUACUUCUGUGGAGAAGAGUUGAAUAAAUUACCGAGUGGGCAAGAGGGAUGGCGGUGCGACUGCGCCUCGGUCCCAGACAUGCCCAGGGAGGGGUGGGAGUCCUGAGCUAGUUUAUCAGAUUUGAGUCCAUCUUGCCGUGAGGAUUUAGUAUUUAAAGCGGACAAUAUGUAUACAGUAGAGACCGGGGCGUUACAACAAUAUCAUCCAAUGACAGGGGAUCAAGGAGCAAGAAAAACACAUUUAGCAAACACAUGGAACGUGCUCAAAGGGAAACGGGUAUCGGGACGCCACCACGUCAUCGGUGAGCUCACUGGCAGAGCCUCAACGGAACAAUUGGGACGCUGCCACAUCCCCGGUUAGCUGGAGAUCCUCGAGCAAGUCCCAGUCACGAGCGAGUUCUCGGAAAAGCUUUGAGAAGAGCUCACCGGUGGAGUCUCGGUGGAGAUCCUCGAGCGUCAGCCAAGGCGACAACCAUUAUCACAAUUCUGGUGAAGACGAUCCAUGGCGAGCAAGCUACAGGCAUGGCGCUCUUCGCCUAUUCUGGUGAUUACAAUCAAGGGCGAGUGAGAUCGUACCCGCGACCACCCCAGCAGAAAUAUGAUUAUUCUCAUCACACUAGCAGGGGCAAUAUUAUUUAUCAUGAGCAAAUGCACAAGGGGAAAAUGACUUCGCAUUUCUUCAGAAGUCUUCCAAACGCAAGUGCUCAUGUCAACAUUUGCAUCAAGAUUUCUAACUUUUCUGUUUCGAAAAAGUAUAGUUACUGCGAUUUUUCUUUUCGUAUUUUAUAAAAAAAAAAAGUCAAAAACACACGGCGCAUCUCGUUGACCCAUCAUCAACCAAUGCAUGCCGAUCAGCGGGCGCUGUCCAUGUCCCGACCUCAUCGUCACAAGCGAAGAAUGUGAACCAAGCGAUCAACCAUCGAUCUUCGAAGGAGAAGACUUCACAGAUUGGCGCUUCUUCCGUCGGCGAUCGUCCUCAAUUCCUCUCCAAUCGCCUCCCAGCUUCCUCCUGCAUCCUGAAAAUCCCUAUGGCGGCGGCGCUCGUCGGCGGAGCAUUUCUCUCGGCUUUCCUCCAGGUGCUCUUCGAUCGGAUGGCCUCCCGCGAGGUCGUCGACUUCUUCCGGUCGCGCAAGCUCGACAAGGGGAGGCUGCUGCAGAAGCUGGAGGCUGCGCUCCUGUCCGCGAACGCCGUGCUGGACGACGCGGAGGAGAAGCAGAUGACCAACGACUCCGUCAGGAAGUGGCUCGACGAGCUCAAGGACGCUGUCUACGACGCUGACGACCUGUUCGACGAGAUCGCCAUUGAAGAUCUGAAGCGCGAAGCCAGGGUCGAGCCUCGGGCUUUCGUUUAUAAGGUCUGGAGCUUUGCUGCAGACGCUUGUAGGAGUGAAUUGGGGGAUGAGUUAGAGAGGGUUCUGGAGAGAUUGGAGAGAGUGGUGAAGCUGAGAAAAGUGCUGGGCCUAAGGGAAGGCAUUCGCGAGAGGACAGCUAGAGCUUUGCCGACCACUUCGUUGGUCGAGGAAUUGGGAAUUUUCGGGAGGGAGAAGGACAGGGAGGCGGUGAUCGACUUGCUCUUGUCAGAUCUGGGCGAAAAGAACACCAGCGUGAUGGCCAUCGUUGGGAUGGGCGGUCUCGGUAAGACCACGCUAUCUCAGCUCGUGUUCAACGAUGGUGUGGUGAAAGGGAGUUUCGAGUUGAGGGCGUGGGUUUGCGUGUCCGACCAAUUCGACAUCUGCAAGCUGACGGCCACGGCUCUCGAGGAGUUCUCCUCCUCGUCUAAGAAGGAGACCGAAAAUCUCAACCAGCUUCAGCUCCAACUGAAGGACUUCUUGACAGGGAAGAAAUUCCUAUUGGUGUUGGAUGAUGUUUGGAAUGAGGACUCAAAUCUUUGGGAUGCGUUCCUAGUUCCUUUUACCUAUGGAGCAAGAGGCAGCAAAAUCGUCGUGACGACACGAAAUGAAAGUGUCGCAUCGGUUGCUCGUGCCUUCUCGAAAUACUAUUUACAGAAUUUACAAGACAGGGAAUGUUGGGACUUGUUCGCAAAACAUGCGUUUGACCAGCAUAACUUCGAGGCGCGCACGAGACUUGAAGAAAUCGGGCAAAGAAUUGUAAAGAGAUGUGAUGGAUUGCCUCUUGCGCUGAAGACUAUAGGUAGCUUGUUACGCUGUGAGUCUGAUAUCAGGAAGUGGGAAAUAAUUGCAGAGAGUGUCAUUUGGGAUUUGGCACCUGGAAAGAAUAGAAUUCUCCCUGCCUUGUUGUUAAGUUAUCAUUACCUUCCUCCACAACUGAAACGAUGUUUUGCCUAUUGUUCAGUCUUCCCAAAGGAUUGCAUAUAUAAGAAGGACCAGCUGAUCUUACUUUGGAUGGCUGAGGGCUUGAUAAAACAACCUAACGCCGGCAGGACAUUAGAGGAAGUAGGUG